rnacentral:rRNA from 1 species
UACGAAGGGGGCGAGCGUUGUUCGGAAUUACUGGGCGUAAAGGGCGCGUAGGCGGCCCCUUUUGUCGCGUGUGAAAGCCCCGGGCUCAACCUGGGAACGGCGCGCGAAACGGGGGGCUUGAGUUCGGUAGGGGAGACUGGAAUUCCUGGUGUAGCGGUGAAAUGCGUAGAUAUCGUAAGGAAGACCAGUGGCGAAGGCGGGUCUCGUGGGCCACUACUGACGCUGAGAAGCGAAAGCAUGGGGAGCGAACAGG